rnacentral:rRNA from 1 species
UACGUAGGGGGCAAGCGUUGUCCGGAAUCAUUGGGCGUAAAGCGCGUGUAGGCGGCCAGAAAAGUCCGCUGUGAAAACUCGAGGCUCAACCUCGAGAUGUCGGCGGAAACCGUCUGGCUAGAGUCCGGAAGAGGAGAGUGGAAUUCCUGGUGUAGCGGUGAAAUGCGCAGAUAUCAGGAAGAACACCUAUGGCGAAGGCAGCUCUCUGGGACGGUACUGACGCUGAGACGCGAAAGCGUGGGGAGCGAACAGG